UACGUAGGGUGCAAGCGUUGUCCGGAAUUAUUGGGCGUAAAGAGCUCGUAGGCGGUUUGUUGCGUCGGCUGUGAAAUCCCGAGGCUCAACCUCGGGUCUGCAGUCGAUACGAGCAAACUAGAGUGUUGCAGGGGAGACUGGAAUUCCUGGUGUAGCGGUGAAAUGCGCAGAUAUCAGGAGGAACACCAGCGGCGAAGGCGGUGCUCUGGGCCGGAACUGACGCUGAGGAGCGAAAGCGUGGGUAGCAAACAGG
rnacentral:rRNA from 1 species